UGCCUCAUGGUGUAACGGUAGCACAGCAGUCUCUGGAACUGCUUGUUUAGGUUCGAAUCCUAAUGAGGCAACCA
rnacentral:tRNA from 4 species